GACGAACGCUGGCGGCGUGCCUAAUACAUGCAAGUAGAACGCACAGUUUAUACCGUAGCUUGCUACACCAUAGACUGUGAGUUGCGAACGGGUGAGUAACGCGUAGGUAACCUGCCUGGUAGCGGGGGAUAACUAUUGGAAACGAUAGCUAAUACCGCAUAAUAUUAAUUAUUGCAUGAUAAUUAAUUGAAAGGUGCAAUUGCACCACUACCAGAUGGACCUGCGUUGUAUUAGCUAGUAGGUGAGGUAACGGCUCACCUAUGCGACGAUACAUAGCCGACCUGAGAGGGUGAUCGGCCACACUGGGACUGAGACACGGCCCAGACUCCCACGGGAGGCAGCAGUAGGGAAUCUUCGGCAAUGGACGAAAGUCUGACCGAGCAACGCCGCGUGAGUGAAGAAGGUUUUCGGAUCGUAAAGCUCUGUUGUAAGAGAAGAACGGGUGUGAGAGUGGAAAGUUCACACUGUGACGGUAUCUUACCAGAAAGGGACGGCUAACUACGUG
rnacentral:rRNA from 1 species